UGGGGAAUAUUGCGCAAUGGGCGCAAGCCUGACGCAGCAACGCCGCGUGAGUGAUGAAGGCCUUCGGGUCGUAAAGCUCUGUCGGAGGGAACGAAUGCUCUUGGGGUUAACAGCCUUGAGAAGUGACGGUACCCUCAGAGGAAGCACCGGCUACCUCUGUGCCAGCAGCCGCGGUAAUACAGAGGGGGCAAGCGUUGUCCGGACUUACUGGGUGUAAAGCGCAUGCAGGGGGCUGUGCAAGUAUGCUGUGAAAGCCCCGUGCUUAACACGGGGGGGCAAAUAUAGACUGCACGGCUCGAGGACUGCAGAGGGUAGGGGAAUUGCUGGUGUAGUGGUGAAAUGCGUAGAGAUCAGCAGGAACACCAAGGCCGAAGGGACCUACCUGGGCAGUAUCUGACACUCAAGUGCGAAAGCGUGGGGAGCGAA
rnacentral:rRNA from 1 species